GAAGUCCGCCAGGCAGUCGCGGUACCGCGAGGUAUCGAGGAAAGUCCGGGCCCCGCAGGGCAGAAUGCCGGCUAACGGCCGGGCGCUAUAAGCCGAAAGGCCCAAGGCGACGGAAAGUGCAACAGAGAGCAGACCGCCGAUGGCCCCGCAAGGGGAUCAGGUAAGGGUGAAACGGUGGGGUAAGAGCCCACCGCGUCCGUGGUGACACGUACGGCACGGUAAACCCCAUUCGGGGCAAGGCCAAAUAGGGGAGCGUUGAGGCGGCCCGCUGAGCUCCCGGGUAGGCUGCUAGAGCUUCGCAGCAAUGCGUCGACCAGAGGAAUGACUGCCCCGUCUCCGCAAGGGGGCGCGACAGAACCCGGCUUAUCGGCGGACUUCCACU
rnacentral:RNase_P_RNA from 1 species